GCCUCCGUUGUUUAGUUGGAAGAACACCCACUAUGGUGAGAUAGAACUCGGGUUCGAGCCUCGAUGAAGGCA